rnacentral:rRNA from 1 species
GGUUGCUGACUAAGCGUACACGGUGGAUGCCCGCAGUCAGAGGCGAUGAAGGGCGUGCUAUCUGCGAUAAGCGCCGGUAAGGUGAUAUGAACCGUUAUAACCGGCGAUACCCGAACAGAAACCCAGUGAUUCCGUCACACUAUCAUUAACUGAAUCCAUAGGUUAAUGAGGCGAACCGGUGAAACUGAAACAUCUAAGUACCCCGAGUGAAAAGAAAUCAACCGAGAUUCCCCCAGUAGCGGCGAAAGAACGCAAAUAUGGUUUCCAGAGCCUGAAUCAGCAUGUGUGUUAGUGGAAGCGUUCGGAAAGGCGCGCGAUACAGGGCGACAGCCCCUGUACACAAAAGCGCAUGUGCUGUGAGCUCGAUGAGUAGGCGAUUACCGUGGUAUCCUGUCUGGAAAUAUGGGGGACCAUCCUCCAAGGCUAAAUACCCUGACUGACCGAUAGAAGUGAACCAGUACCGUGAGGGAAAGCGCGAAAGAACCCCGGCGAGGGGAGUGAAAAAGAACCUGAAACCGUGUACGCGUCAGCAGUGGGGAGCAAUAAGUUUACCUGUGUGACUGCGUACCUUUGGUAUAUAAUGGGUCAGCGACCUCUAUAUUCUGUAGCAAGGUUAACCGCAUAGGAGCCGGAGGGAAACCGAGUCUUAACCGGGCGUUGUUGCAGGGUAUAGACCCGAAACCUGGUGAUUCAGCCAUGGGCAGGUUGAAGGUUGGGUAACACUAAUUGGAGGACCGAACCGGACUAAUGUUGAAAACAAGGAUGACCCAGGCUGGGGUGCUGGCCAAUCAAACCGGGAGAUAGCUGGUUCUCCCUGAAAGCUAUUUAGUAGCGCCUUCGCACUCAUCUCCGGGGUAGAGUUACCGUUUCGGUUAGGCCAUCCCGCUUACCAACCCGAUGCAAACCGCAGAAUACCGGAGAAUGUUAUCACGGAGCACACACGGCGGCGCUAACGUCCGUCGUGAAGAGGAAACAACCCAGACCGCUACGCUAAGGUCCCAAAGUCAUGGUUAAGUGGGAAACGAUGUGAAGGCCCACAGCCGUGAUAAAGCGGCUUAGAAGCUGUUGCCAUCAUUUAAAGAAAGCGUACAGCUCACCGGUCGACGUCGGCCUGCGCGAAGAUGUAACGGGCUAAACCAUGCACCGAAGCGUGGCAGCGACGCUUAUGUUGUUGGGUAGGAGCGUUCUGUAAGCCUGCGAAGGUGGCCUGUGAGGGCUGCUGGAGGUAUCGUAUGCGAAUGCUGACAUAUAACGGAUAAAGGGUGAAAAGCCCGCCUGCCGGAAAUACGCGGUUCCUGUCCAACGUUAAUCGGGGCAGGGCAGGACAAAAUGACCCCUGCUGGGCGAGGCCGAAAGGCGUAGCGUCGAUGGAAACGGGUUAAUAUUCCCGUACUUGGUGUUACUACUGCGAAGGGGGACGGAGAAGGCUAUGUUGGCCGGGCGCGACGGUUGUCCCGGUUUAAGCGUGUAGGUGUGUGUUCCGGUGCAAAUCCGGUUCACUUGCACUGAGGCGUGACGACGAGGCACUACGGUGCUGAAGCAACAAUGCCCCUGCUCCAGAAAGCCCUGUCAUCAGGGUAAUCAAAUCGUACCCCAAACCGACACAGGUGGUCAGGUAGAGAAUACCAAGGCGCUUGAGAGUAAUCCCCGGGUGAAGGAACUAGCAAAAUGGUGCCGUAACUUCGGGAGAAGCGCACGCUGACACGUAGGUGAAGUGAUUUACUCACGGAGCUGAAGUCAGUCGAAGAUACCAGCUCGGCUGCAACCGUUUAUUAAAAACACAGCACUGUGCAAACACGAAAGUGGACGCAUACGGUGACGCCUGCCCGGUGCCGGAAGGCUGUUAAUUCGAUGGGUCAGCGCAAGCGAAGCUCCCGAUCGAAGCCCUCCCGGUAAAACGGCGGCCGUAACCAUAACGGUCCUAAGGUAGCGAAAUUCUUGUCGGCAAGUUCCGACCUGCACGAAUGGCGCAAUGAUGGCUUCAAAGCUGUUCCACCGAGACUCAGUGAAAUUCGAACUCGCUGUGAAGAUGCAGUGUACCCGCGGCAAGCAUCGGUUAACUGUGAACCUUAAUAUAGCUUGACUAAACAUUGAGCCCUGAUGUGUAGGGGAUAGGUGGAGGCUUUGAAGUGUGGACGCCAGUCUGCAUGGAGCCGACCUUGAAAUACCACCCUUAAUGUUUGAUAAACUUAACGUGACCCGUAAUCCGGUUGCGGAUAAAGUCUGGUGGCAGUUUGGAUCAGCGGUUCCAAGAGUAACGGAGGAGCACGAAGGUUGGCUAAUCCCGGUCGGACAUCAGAGUGUUAUGCAAUGGCAUACCAGCUUCGACUGCGAGCGUGACGGUUGAGCAGGCGCGAAAGUGCGUCAUAUGAUCCUUCGGUGGUUCGGAAUGGAAGGCCAUCGCUCAACGGAUAAAAGGUACCCGGGGAUAACAGGCUGAUACCGCCCAAGAGUUCAUAUCGACGGUGUUUGGCACCCGAUGUCGGCUCAUCACAUCCUGGGGCUGAAGUAGAACUCAAGGGCAUGGCUGUUCGCCAUUUUAAAGUGGUACGGCGAGCUGGGUUUAGAACGUCGUGAGACAGCGGGUCCCCAUUCGCCGUGGGCGCUGGAGAACUGAGGGGGCUGCUCCAGUACGAGAGGACCGGAGUGGACGCAUCACUGAAUACCAUGCCAAUGGCACUGCCCGGUAGCUAAAUGCGGAAGAGAUAAGUGCUGAAAAGCAUCUAAGCACGAAACUUGCCCCCGAGAUGAGUUCUCCCGGAGACUUAGAGUCUCCUGAAGGAACGCGUGCUGAAGACGACGACGUUGAUAGCCGGGUGUGUAAGCGCAGCGAUGCGUUGAGCUAACCGGUACUAAUAAUGAACCGUGUGAGGCUUAACCUU